GACGAACGCUGGCGGCGUGCUUAACACAUGCAAGUCGAACGGAAAGGCCCUGCUUUUGUGGGGUGCUCGAGUGGCGAACGGGUGAGUAACACGUGAGUAACCUGCCCUUGACUUUGGGAUAACUUCAGGAAACUGGGGCUAAUACCGGAUAGGAGCUCCUGCUGCAUGGUGGGGGUUGGAAAGUUUCGGCGGUUGGGGAUGGACUCGCGGCUUAUCAGCUUGUUGGUGGGGUAGUGGCUUACCAAGGCUUUGACGGGUAGCCGGCCUGAGAGGGUGACCGGCCACAUUAGCACGGGGAUACGGCCCAGAAUCCUACGGGAGGCAGCAGUGGGGAAUAUUGCACAAUGGGCGGAAGCCUGAUGCAGCAACGCCGCGUGCGGGAUGACGGCCUUCGGGUUGUAAACCGCUUUCGCCUGUGACGAAGCGUGAGUGACGGUAAUGGGUAAAGAAGCACCGGCUAACUACGUG
rnacentral:rRNA from 1 species